rnacentral:snRNA from 1 species
CUGUAUAUAUAUUUACACAAA